UACCCACUAAGGAAUUAAAGUAAUUCUUCGAAUUGGAGGUUGAGGCUACCAGUUCGUAAAAAUAUUGGGAGAAACUUUAGACUAAAGUCCAAGUCUUUAGUAUUAAUAAUUUAUAUACUAAUAGAGGUAUGGUUUUUUUUUAUGCAGCUAUGGCCACUACCCUGUCACUCCGGUCAUUAUUAGAUAAUGACAAGCUCAUG
rnacentral:lncRNA from 1 species